UACCAGCUCUCCGAGUGGUAGGGAUGAUUAUUGGGCUUAAAGCGUCCGUAGCCGGCUUAGCAAGUCUCCUGUUAAAUUCAGCGACCUAAUCGUUGAGCCGCGGGAGAUACUACUAGGCUAGGAGGCGGGAGAGGUCAACGGUACUUCCGGGGUAGGGGUGAAAUCCUAUAAUCCCGGGAGGACCACCAGUGGCGAAGGCUGUUGACUAGAACGCGCUCGACGGUGAGGGACGAAAGCUGGGGGAGCGAACCGGAUUAGAUACCCGGGUAGUCCCAGCUGUAAACGAUGCGAGCUAGGUGUUGGGGUGGCUACGUGCCACUUCAGUGCCGCAGGGAAGCCAUUAAGCUCGCCGCCUGGGGAGUACGGCCGCAAGGCUGAAACUUAAAGGAAUUGGCGGGGGAGCACCACAAGGGGUGAAGCUUGCGGUUU
rnacentral:rRNA from 1 species